AUGACAUUAUUGGAAGGACCUCUGGGAUCACUAUGCAGAUGUACUUCCUACCGAAGUUGCUGCUCUAGGAUACACCGUUACUUUUUUGUGGGUCCCAAAGGCUCAGGGAAGGCAGCUCUUACCAACAGCUUCCUGCAACAGUUACCUCGUGAAAAAUAUGUUACGUGUCGAAUUAACUUCUCAGCCCAGCCCUCAGCUACUGAGCAGGCCCAGGACGUCUCCCUAACAGAACUCGAAAGGUAUGUCUUCCUUCUGACUGGCCUGAAAGUACAUCAUUUGGACCUCCCCUGGCAAAGAAGCAAGGAUUCCACUUAAACUGGUUAUCUAGCCAGUGCCCUGGGAGCUAAGAGUGAUCACAAUUACUCCACCAAGCCCUGUGAGC